CAUGAUGUUUAAGCUAUUUAUUCUUAAGCCAUGAUCCUGUCACCUUAGGUCGAUCGGUACCUCAGAUUUUUUCCGAUUAGGAAAAAAUUUCAGUUCCUAAACUUGUCUAGGUCACACCCAGCAAGGGUUCUCCUGGGCCAUUAGCUCAGGUGGUUAGAGCGCACCCCUGAUAAGGGUGAGGUCCCUGGUUCAAGUCCAGGAUGGCCCAUUCGGUGUUGGGGGUAUAGCUCAGUUGGUAGAGCGCCUGCUUUGCAAGCAGGAUGUCAGCGGUUCGAGUCCGCUUACCUCCACUGAUCGAAACUCUUGAUGGCGAAAUCUAAGGAGAUUCCUUUCCUAAUUGUGAUUUAGACGACAAAUCUAACUGAAGUUAGAACCUAGCUUCCUUUCAUUCCUAAUCAAUUUAAUUAAAUUGAAUUAGGCUGAAAAGAUGCUGGGCUCACUGAAAUUUUUUUAUUUCAGGGAUGUUCAGUAGAACCUUGACAACUGCAUAGGUGAGUCUGGAAAGAAUAAAAGCAUCUCAUUAGAUGCAUUUAUUUCAGUUUCAGAUUGAUAAAGCUACAUUGUUAGCAUUAUCAAUUCUAGAAAAUUAGAAUAAAUGCAAAUUCUUGAGUUAGAGCCGAGACUCUAUGUAUAU
rnacentral:tRNA from 1 species